rnacentral:rRNA from 1 species
AGUGGCAAACGGCUGAGUAACGCGUAGGAACCUACCCCAAACUCGAGUAUAGCCCCGCGAAAGCGGGGGUAAUCCUCGAUAGUCCGUGAGGUAUUUUACUUCACGGUAAAGCUUUUGCGGUUUGGGAUGGGCCUGCGUCCUAUCAGGUAGUUGGUGAGGUAAAUGCUCACCAAGCCUAUGACGGGUAGCUGGUCUGGGAGGAUGGUCAGCCAGACUGGGACUGCGACACGGCCCAGACUCCUACGGGAGGCAGCAACUAGGAAUUGUGCGCAAUGGACGAAAGUCUGACGCCGCGACAUCGCGUGGAGGAUGAAGGUCUUCGGAUUGUAAACUCCUUUUCUUACCGAACAAGUUCUGAGUGUAGGUAAGGAAUAAGUGCCUGCUAACCACGUGCCAGAAGCAUCGGUAAUACGUGGGGCACGAGCGUUAUCCGGAUUUACUGGGCGUAAAGAGAAGCGUAGGCGGCUCGAUAAGUUUGGUGUUAAAUCUUCCGGCUCAACCGGAAACAAGCACCGAAAACUAUCGAGAUUGAGUCGAGUAGGGAAGAGGGGAAUUCCUGGUGGAGCGGUUAAAUGCGUAGAUAUCAGGAGGAAUACCAAGGGCGAAGGCACCUCUUUGGACUCGUACUGACGCUGAGGCUCGAAAGCGUGGGUAGCAAAACGGAUUAGAUACCCGUGUAGUCCGCGCCGUAAACGAUCCCUGUUAGAUGUAUGUUUUGUC